rnacentral:rRNA from 1 species
UACGUAGGGUGCGAGCGUUGUCCGGAAUUAUUGGGCGUAAAGAGCUCGUAGGCGGCCUGUCGCGUCGGAUGUGAAAGCCCGGGGCUUAACCCCGGGUCUGCAUUCGAUACGGGCAGGCUAGAGUGUGGUAGGGGAGAUCGGAAUUCCUGGUGUAGCGGUGAAAUGCGCAGAUAUCAGGAGGAACACCAGUGGCGAAGGCGACUACCUGGCCUGUUCUUGACGCUGAGGCGCGAAAGCUAGGGGAGCAAACGGG